GAUCCUGGCUCAGGGUGAACGCUGGCGGCGUGCCUAAGACAUGCAAGUCGGGCGGGCCACGGGGUUUUACUCUGUGGUCAGCGGCGGACGGGUGAGUAACGCGUGGGUGACCUACCCGGAAGUGUGGGACAACCCCGGGGGAAACUCGGGCUAAUCCCGCAUGUGGUCAUGUCCUGUGGGGCAUGAUUAAAGGGCCGAGGGGUCUGCUUCCGGAUGGGCCCGCGUCCCAUCAGCUAGUUGGUGGGGUAAAGGCCCACCAAGGCGACGACGGGUAG
rnacentral:rRNA from 1 species